rnacentral:rRNA from 1 species
UGGAAGGAUAGCAGAAUUAUCUGGGAAGAUAAGCCAAAGAGGGUGAGAGCCCCGUAAGCGAAAUCCGGAAACGAGGUGAGCAGGAUCCUGAGUAGGUCGGGACACGAGGAAUCCCGAUUGAAUCCGCGAGGUCCAUCUCGCAAGGCUAAAUACUAACCAGUGACCGAUAGUGAACCAGUACCGUGAGGGAAAGGUGAAAAGAACCCCGGGAGGGGAGUGAAAGAGAACCUGAAACCGUGUGCCUACAAGUAGUCAGAGCACGUUAAAGUGUGAUGGCGUGCCUUUUGUAGAAUGAACCGGCGAGUUGCGUUGUGGUGCAAGGUUAAGUCAGAAAAGACGGAGCCGAAGCGAAAGCGAGUCUGAAGAGGGCGAGAUAGUAUCAUGACGCAGACCCGAAACCAAGUGACCUACCCAUGACCAGGU